UACAGAGGUCUCAAGCGUUGUUCGGAUUCAUUGGGCGUAAAGGGUGCGUAGGUGGCGCCGUAAGUCAGGUGUGAAAUCUCGGGGCUCAACCCCGAAACUGCAUUUGAUACUGCGGUGCUCGAGUACUGGAGAGGAGAUUGGAAUUUACGGUGUAGCAGUGAAAUGCGUAGAUAAUCGUAAGGAAGACCAGUGGCGAAGGCGAAUCUCUGGACAGUUACUGACACU
rnacentral:rRNA from 1 species